rnacentral:rRNA from 1 species
CACGAACGCUGGCGGCAGGCUUAACACAUGCAAGUCGAGCGCCCCGCAAGGGGAGCGGCAGAUGGGUGAGUAACGCGUGGGAAUCUACCCAUCUCUACGGAAUAACGCACGGAAACGUGUGCUACUACCGUAUACGUCCUUCGGGAGACAGAUUUAUCGGAGAUGGAUGAGCCCGCGUUGGAUUAGCUAGUUGGUGGGGUAAAGGCCUACCACGGCGACGAUCCAUAGCUGGUCUGAGAGGAUGAUCAGCCACACUGGGACUGAGACACGGCCCAGACUCCUACGGGAGGCAGCAGUGGGGAAUAUUGGACAAUGGGCGCAAGCCUGAUCCAGCCAUGCCGCGUGAGUGAUGAAGGCCCUAGGGUUGUAAAGCUCUUUCACCGGUGAAGAUAAUGACGGUAACCGGAGAAGAAGCCCCGGCUAACUUCGUGCCAGCCGCCGCAGUAAAAC